rnacentral:misc_RNA from 1 species
GUUGAAGAACGUAGCGAAAUGCGAUAAUUAAUGUGAAUUGCAGAAUUCCGUGAAUCAUCGAGUCUUUGAACGCACAUUGCGCCUCAUGGCAUUCCGUGAGGCAUGCCCAUCUCAGCGUUAGAAAAUAUUCUCAAAUUUUAGUUUUGUGCUAAAAUUUGGAUCAUGUCAAGGAAGCUAUUACUAUUAUUGUGAUCGCUCUUUGGAAAUUGAUAGGUCUUUGAGUUGCUACUCAUAGAACGUGAUGAAUCUUUCUUCGUUCUAUUGUAAUUCACUCUGGUAGUCCUAAAACUUGUAUGCCUGUGGCAUAUCUUGUAAUUUGACCUGAGAUUGGGUAGGGAUACCCGCUGAACUUAAGCAUAUCAAUAAGCGGAGGA